UUUGACACCCCCUACGUCACAACUGUGUCCAGGCUGCAUGGCUGCCAGCAACCCAGUCUGUGUGUCCCUGCCUGCAGCAGGGCUCGGAACUCCGUGAUCUUAAAGGAAUCACAGCAAGCUGAUGAAGAUCACUCAAUGACCUGAAUCUUAUGAAGUUAAGUGACAAUGGAGGGUGUGGGGCGGAACGCAGCAGCACAUCGUAGCAGCACAAUAUUCUCUUCUUUCAUAUGGCAUUGAGGAAGGAGAGUUUUCAACUGGAAUAAAUGCACACUAAUUCACUACUGAGUGUGCUGAUAUGUGUCAGUUCAGAACCUGAAGCAUGUUUCCAUCUUUCAUCAAUGACCUCAACAGGCCAUCUGACAGUUGCCAUGCUAACAUCUAGUUGAUAAUCUUAGUUCAGUUUUAAAUAAAGUUUAAUGAUUGAAACAA